UGUUGAGAAGCCUUUUGGUCCUAGACCUGGCCCCCCGUGUAACUGACAAUUAAUCUGUAAGUCUAUGUCGUUGUUUUUUUGUUUGAAUUGUUUACGUGUUCGCUAUGCGGGGGAAAUGAUAAGACAGGUGGAACGACGUGGCUAAUAACUGUUGUAACGGGGAUCAUUAUCGUAGCAACACAUCUUUGGGUGUAAAGGCAUUCCCGCGCGGUGUUAGCUAAGUUUUCAUGUUACCGGAUGUAGUUCGUAAAGGUUGAUAUGUGUAUGUUAGGAUGAAGCGUGAAUUCAUGCCAGGAAUAAUAAGUGUGAAGUUUGAUUUCCUCCCUUCUGUAAUAAGCAGCCAAUGAGUUCUCACGGAAGGUGAUAAUUCUGACUAAACUACAGAAUAAAGCCGCCAGUCAAAAUCAAGGAACGGUUGUGCUCGUGGUUACUGGAGGGAGCUACAGUGAGAACUCAGUGCUCUUCACGAGCAAGAGAGAAAGAAGAAUCUCAUCCAGCUGUAAAGUCUACAAGAUACCCAAAUCCUGGUAGGCCCUGUCAUCUGCCAGAUAAGAGUUUUGCACCUACCUGCAACCUAAGAAGAACAUCUCCACAUAAGGAAGCAUCGUGAGGCAACAUAAGGUCAAGGCUAACAGGAAAGUCAGACACGCAGUUCUCACGGAAGGUGAUAAUUCUGACUAAACUACAGAAUAAAGCCGCCAGUCAAAAUCAAGGAACGGUUGUGCUCGUGGUUACUGGAGGGAGCUACACCCCGGUACCGCUUGCCAUGCGGUAGUAGAGAGAACAGUCUAUGACUGGGGUGUCUGGGGUUUUUGACAACUUUUAGGGCCUUCCUUUGACACCGCCUGGUGUAGAGGUCCUGGAUGGCAGGCAGCUUAGCCCCAGUCAUGUACUGGGCCGUAGGCACUACCCUCUGUACUGCCUGUAUAUUGUAUAUUUCAUACAAUGCCUGUAUAUUGUAUAUGCAUAGUGCCUGUAUAUUGUAUAUUUCAUACAAUGCCUGUAUAUUGUAUAUGCAUAGUGCCUGUAUAUUGUAUAUGCAUAGUGCCUGUAUAUUGUAUAUUUCAUACAAUGCCUGUAUAUUGUAUAUACAUAGUGCCUGUAUGUUGUAUAUUUCAUACAAUAU
rnacentral:lncRNA from 1 species